rnacentral:rRNA from 1 species
UACGAAGGGGGCUAGCGUUGUUCGGAAUGACUGGGCGUAAAGCGCGCGUAGGCGGAUCAUCAAGUCGGGGGUGAAAUCCCGGGGCUCAACCCCGGAAUGGCCUUCGAGACUGGUGGUCUUGAGUUCGAGAGAGGUGAGUGGAAUUCCGAGUGUAGAGGUGAAAUUCGUAGAUAUUCGGAGGAACACCAGUGGCGAAGGCGGCUCACUGGCUCGACACUGACGCUGAGGUGCGAAAGCGUGGGGAGCAAACAGG